GUGCAUUAUCCCCGGCAACAGAAUAACAUGGUGACUGUGCAUUAUCCCCAGCAACAGAAUAACAUGGUGACUGUGCAUUAUCCCCAGCAACAGAAUAACAUGGUGAAUGUGCAUUAUCCGCAAGCAACAGAAUAACAUGGUGAAUGUGCAUUAUCACCAAGCAACAGAAUAACAUGGUGAAUGUGCAUUAUCCCCAAGCAACAGAAUAACAUGGUGAAUGUGCAUUAUCCCCAGCAGCAGAAUAACAUGGUGAAUGUGCAUUAUCCCCAGCAACAGAAUAACAUGGUGAAUGUGCAUUAACCCCAGCAACAGAAUAACAUGGUGAAUGUGCAUUAUCUCCAAGCAACAGAAUAACAUGGUGAAUGUGCAUUAUCCCCAAGCAACAGAAUAACAUGGUGAAUGUGCAUUAUCCCCAGCAGCAGAAUAACAUGGUGAAUGUGCAUUAUUCCCAGCAACAGAAUAACAUGGUGAAUGUGCAUUAACCCCAGCAACAGAAUAACAUGGUGAAUGUGCAUUAUCACCAAGCAACAGAAUAACAUGGUGAAUGUGCAUUAUCCCCAGCAACAGAAUAACAUGGUGAAUGUGCAUUAUCACCAAGCAACAGAAUAACAUGGUGAAUGUGCAUUAGCCCCAGCAACAGAAUAACAUGGUGAAUGUGCAUUAUCUCCAAGCAACAGAAUAACAUGGGAGAAGAUCUAAAGAUCAGGUCCAGCCGGAGGCUAAAAGCAACACAUACGGAUCUCUGGCAGCUAAACUCAUGUGUAACAAACCUGGUCCACAGGACGACUCCUAAUGUCACCCAGCCCAGAGCCACACCUGUCUGUCUGUGUACAGAGACUACCUGUGUCAACACUACACACACACUACAUACACACCCUACACACUAUAUACACACACACACACACUACACACACACACACUACCUACACACACCUACACACACCACACACACACACUACAGACACACACACACUACCUACACACCUCUCUCCUGGGUUGCCAGACUGAAUGACUGACUACAGGGACAAAGUGAGAGCACUGUCUCCAUACUGUAUUUACAGCAGGAUUAUGACUGCUUUAGCAAAAAUUACCCAGAAAUCCUAGUAUCUUCUAUCUCGCUCCUGAUUCCAGGAGUCUUGGGGACUCUGGGGGAAAAACCUGGACAUCUUGGGGAAAGUUAUCAGGGAAUUGAACUCUGGUGCUACAGAUACCGAGGAGAUAUCUCAGGAUCCAACCCAAAAUGCACUACAGACACCAAUAAAACAUUAUUUCAUUCUCAAGGGAGGUGGCUGUCCUGACGAACCACCUGAUUAUUCUCUGUUCAUACGAAAGCAACUGUUGGAACGAAUUUCUGAUGAGACACUUUUAAUAUGAUUUCUAUCAUUGAUUUGUUAAUAAAACUGGAAUGUGGAUAUUUAAAAAGUUGUUUCUCGAGGUCUUUAGAAACUCUGGCUGGCAAAGCAGGAAUAACAGCGCACUCUGCUGGUCGUAACGAGAAUUACUAUUUAACGACAUCUCAAGGCCAGUAGACAACUUUUUAAAUCAUCAGACAGAACAGAAAGUAGGAUAUUUGUUCAAGCUAAUAACCUCGGAUAUCCAGGCUUCGCUCAACAAGACGAGAUUUGGAAGGAUGGCCUCAGGACUACAUCACCCACUUAUUUACCUUUUAGUACCUGGCUGGGGGUUGCAUCACACACUACACGGACAUUUUAAAAUGUUACAGCUUCACCCUUUUUUCAAAAUCAUAAUUUUCUGAAUUGCAUUUCAGAGAGGUGUGUAAUACAGUUUAACUGCCAUACUGCCAGUUAGGGCUGAGCCUACGUCUUCCUUCAGCCUACGUCUUCAGGUGACUCCAAUGCUUCCCACAGUUGUCGAAGUUGGCUGUUGGACCAUUGGGAAACGGUUGAGCGUGAAAAACCCAGCAGCGUUGCAGUUCUUGACACAUUCAAACAGGUGCGCCUGGCACCUACAGUGAGGGGGGAAAAAGUAUUUGAUCCCCUGCUGAUUUUGUACAUUUG
rnacentral:lncRNA from 1 species